rnacentral:lncRNA from 1 species
UCAGCAGUGUUAUCCCCAGUGGAUCAUCGAGAUGUAGAAGCAUCCUCGACAGAGUUUCGGGCAACCCAGAGUGGGUAAGGAAGAAAAGGAAAAGUCAUCCCCAGCAAAAUAAUCCCCAGCAGUUUCGAGGGAAGACAACAUAGGUAAGUAAAUAAUUCAGGAAGAAGGAAAUGGUUCACGCAUAGGAGACGCACUUCCUAAGUGAAGAUUUCAUUAAUAGGAGACGCACUUCCUAGUUUGAAAUCAUUAAAGUUUCACCCAUAGGAGAUGCAUUUCCUCCUAAGUUUGUUUUAGUUUCACCCCAUAGGAGAUGCAUUUCCUCCUAAGUUUACUUUCACCCAUAGGAGAGGCAUUUCCUCCUAAGUUUAGUUUUACCCAUAGGAGACGCAUUUCCUCCUAAGUUUACUUUGACUCAUAGGAGAUGCAUUUCCUCCUAAGUUUAGAUUCAGCCAUAGGAGACGCAUUUCCUCCUACGU